AUUGAACGCUGGCGGCAUACCUUACACAUGCAAGUCGAACGGCAGCGGACCUUCGGGUGCCGGCGAGUGGCGAACGGGUGAGUAAUAUAUCGGAACGUACCUUUCAGUGGGGGAUAACGUAGCGAAAGUUACGCUAAUACCGCAUAUUCUGUGAGCAGGAAAGCAGGGGAUCGCAAGACCUUGCGCUGAUUGAGCGGCCGAUAUCAGAUUAGCUAGUUGGUGAGGUAAAGGCUCACCAAGGCGACGAUCUGUAGCGGGUCUGAGAGGAUGAUCCGCCACACUGGAACUGAGACACGGUCCAGACUCCUACGGGAGGCAGCAGUGGGGAAUUUUGGACAAUGGGCGCAAGCCUGAUCCAGCCAUGCCGCGUGAGUGAAGAAGGCC
rnacentral:rRNA from 1 species